GAUUGAAUGCUGUGCCAUAGUAGGUGAAAGUCCUGUAAUCGAAAACUUAGAUAUUUUGAAAUUGUAUCCCAAGUAGGGAGGGACACGUGAAACCCCUUUUGAAUUUGCGAGGACCACCUCGUAAGGCUAAAUAUUCCUGAAUGACCGAUAGUGAACCAGUACCGUGAGGGAAAGGUGAAAAGAACCCCGGGAGGGGAGUGAAAUAGAACAUGAAAUCGUAAGUUUACAAGCAGUAGAAGAGCGACUUAACGCUCGACUUCGUGCCUGUUGAAGAAUGAGCUGGCGACUUGUAGGUUGUGGCAAGAUUAAGAUAAGAAAAUAUCGAAGUCAUAGUGAAAGCGAGCCUGAAUAGGGCUUUAAGUCAUAAUUUACAGACCCGAACCCGGAUGAUCUAACCAUGGCCAGUGUGAAGCUUAGGUAACACUAAGUGGAGGUACCAACCGACUGUUGUUGAAAAAACAGCGGAUGAGUUGUGGUUAGGGGUGAAAUUCCAAUCGAAUCCGGAGCUAGCUGGAUCUCCCCGAAAUGCGUUGAGGCGCAGCGGUUAAUGUUUUUUCUUAGGGGUAAAGCUACUGUUUUGGUGCGGGCUGCGAGAGUGGUACCAAAUCAAGGCAAACUCUGAAUACUAAGACAUUUAGUUAACCAGUGAGACGUUGGGGGAUAAGCUUCAAUGUCAAGAGGGAAACAGCCCAGAUUACUAGUUAAGGCCCCUAAAUAAUUGCUAAGUGGUAAAGGAGGUGGGAUUGCAUAGACAAUCAGGAGGUUUGCUUAGAAGCAGCAAUCCUUUAAAGAGUGCGUAAUAGCUCACUGUUCGAGUGAUCCUGCGCCGAAAAUGACUGGGACUAAGCAAUUUGCCGAAACUGUAAGAUGUUUAAACAUCGGUAGGGGAGCGUUCUACAUUAGUGAGAAGAAUUAACGAAAGUGGGUUUGGACAAAGUAGAAGUGAGAAUGUCAGCUUGAGUAGCGAAAACAUUGGUGAGAAUCCAAUGCCCCGAAAACCUAAGGGUUCCUCCGGAAGGCUCGUCCGCGGAGGGUGAGUCAGGUCCUAAGGCAAGGCUGAACAGCGUAGUCGAUGGAUAACAGGUUAAUAUUCCUGUACUGUUUAUUAUUGGUAAAGGGGGACGGAGAAGGCUAGGUCGACCGAAUGUUGGUUAUCGGCUUAAGUAUUCGAGGUGUUGAGGAAUGGCGAAAACAUUCUGAGCUGAGAUAUGAAUAGGAGGUGCUAAGGCACUGAACCGACUGAUGUCAUACUUCCAAGAAAAGCCCUAACUACCAUAAGCAAUAAAUACCUGUACCCUAAACCGACACAGGUGGGUAAGUAGAGUAUACUAAGGGGCGCGAGAUAACUCUCUCUAAGGAACUCGGCAAAAUAGCCUCGUAACUUCGGGAGAAGAGGUACCCUUUAUGGGUUGCAAGAACCAGACGCUGGCGACUGUUUACCAAAAACACAGGUCUCCGCAAAGUCGUAAGACGACGUAUGGGGGCUGACACCUGCCCAGUGCCGGAAGGUUAAGGAAGCUUGUUAGUCUUUGACGAAGCUCGCGACCGAAGCCCCGGUGAACGGCGGCCGUAACUAUAACGGUCCUAAGGUAGCGAAAUUCCUUGUCGGGUAAGUUCCGACCCGCACGAAAGGUGUAACGAUCUGCGUACUGUCUCGGAGAGAGACUCGGCGAAAUAGACUUGUCUGUGAAGAUGCGGACUACCUGCACCUGGACAGAAAGACCCUAUGAAGCUUUACUG
rnacentral:rRNA from 1 species